rnacentral:tRNA from 1 species
GUCUAGAUAGCUCAGUGGUAGAGCGGAGGAUUGAAAAUCCUUAUGUCGGCGGUUCAAAUCCGCCUUUAGACA